UUGACCUUUUAGAGAAAAGCUGGGAUCAUCGCCCUUUAACCCCAAGUAAAAAGAUAAACUAAAAACGAACUCCCUAGGGUGCAGCAGAGGACCUCUCGUUGUUAUUGCUAAUCGCCGGCCUCGUAGUGGUCCAGGCUUCUUCCAUCCUCUGCUACGGGCCUGUCGGGAACCUGGACAGAGUCACCCAUUGCCAGCAACCGCUGGUGUCUGCAGAAGUUAGAAGCAAAAGGUCGCGGACACCGACUCCCAACCCCCGCGCUAAAGUCACCUCAACAAGAGCACAGCCAUCUUGGGUUCCGGUCUGGACGGAAGUGACGCAAGCGGCGGGGCGUCUGAGCUGGGGCGGGGGUGAAGCCCCGAAGAGUCGUCACGUGAUGACACCGAGUUCUUUAAAAGGCUUCGCGCCUCUGCUCUAGGUUCUGCGCUUUUGGUGGCAGAUGUUCGGAAAUAGUUUGUUCUCCCCCUCUUCCUAACGGUUUUUGCCAGGACUGCAGCAGAGAUUCCGCUGGGUUUAGAAUCUGCCACCCGCGUAUGUGUUCAUUUUUUUUUUUUAAUCUCCCUUCCAAUCAGCAAGAAUUUGCCCACAGUCUUCACUGAGUCGGAGUUUGACUCCACCUCCCUCCCUGGCCAGCCUAAAAAUAUCAGAGUUGGUUGGCUGAGACAACGGCGCAAAAGAUACUUUGGGCUUCUUCUCAUUCUAAUGUUUUGGUCAGAUAGAUACACAGGUUGAGACCCACUCAGGGGAAUGUGAGAUGGGUCCACUAGAGGACCUUGCAGUCACCUCAACAAGAUGAGGAACCCAAGAAUGGGGGACGUAUAAUCAGGCCUCAGGAUUCCUAGGCUUGAGCUGCUGCCUGAGCUAGGCGCCCACCAGCCAAAGACAACGCUCCCUUGUUCCUUGUUUCAGUGCUGUGUGGGCAACACCCACCAUCAGAAGAACCUGAGAUAUGGGGGAGAACCUGCUUUGAUUUAUACAUACUGCAUAUAAACAGUUUUGAGGAACCCAAGCGUGGUGAUCAAUUUCAGAGAACUCACGACUGGAGAGAGAAAAAAAAUCAAGUGAGAAAGGAAUAAAACAAUGCAAAAGAUCUUGGCCCUUUUGCGGGGAAAGGGAAACGAGGCGGGAGUGGAGGUCACAGCCCAGAAGAACUCCUAUUCUACAAUAAAACAUGUUCAGUCACAUUAAUAUUCAGAUCUCAUUUAUAUUUAGCACUCCCGAAUUUUUACUUUCAGGAUUUAAAUAGCACAAAUUCAUUUAUUUCUGAACCAAAUGCUAUUUUUGCAUUUCUAUAAUGCUAGACCAAAAAAAAAAUAAAAUAAAAUAAAAAAGCAUUAUUAUAGAUUUUUUAGGAUUGGAAGGGACCUUAAAGACUCUAUAAUCCAACCUUCUACCAAGGACAAAAAUCGCUUCUGAAGCAUCCCUAACAGCUGAUCUUCUAGACUGCUGGAACUCGUCCUGUGGUAGUAAACAGCUUAAUCAUUACAAAGUUGUUCUGCUAUUGAACUUCCAGUCAUUGAUCCUCCUAUUGAACUUUCAGUCAUUGAUACUCCUUUGGCCUUCUGGAGUAUCACAUUAGCAAAUAAAUGAAGACCUCGUGCACUUA